ACCUUACUGACGAAUGCCAAAUAGCACGAAACUCGGGUUCAGGGU
rnacentral:hammerhead_ribozyme from 1 species